AAGUCGUAACAAGGUUUCCGUAGGUGAACCUGCGGAAGGAUCAUUAAAAUAUGAAAUUAUAAAACAGAAUUUGUAGUGUGUUAGAGAGACUUUAACUGUAAAACUCUUGACAACGGAUCUCUUGGUUCCU
rnacentral:misc_RNA from 1 species